rnacentral:tRNA from 1 species
UGGCCUCCUCGGGCGACUGGGGGAAGCGCGUCGGCUUGCCGAGCUGGGUCAGGUUUUCCAUGGGAGAAAGGGUCCUUUCUGAUGGGGCGAGGCCUCC